CGCACUGCUGAACAUCCAGGUCUAAGAGGACUACCUGCGAGUCCCGGCAAUCGGUAUUUUUUUGCUAAUUUUUUUGUGUUUGCGAUUUAAGAGCGAUCAGCCGAGCUCAGGGCAAUUUACCCCAGUUGACCCCCCCUCUCAUCGGCCCUGCCAGUAAGUGUGUUACAAAAAUAUUUGUAACUAUUAUUAACAUUAUUAUUUGUUAGGGUAUUGUUGGCCCGAGGGGGUUUCCUGGUCAAGACGGUUUAACAGGAACUGCAGGACGUGAUGGAGCGUUAGCUCCUACAGGUGCUCCUGGCGAGCCUGGAACGCAAAAUUUAGUUGCGAUUAAUUCUGGUUAUGCACAUGAUGAUCAAGGACCCAGAGGACAUCCUGGUUUAACUGGAUUGUCAGGAGAACGGGGAUCAGCUAGAGGAACAGGUCCUCCUGGUCUUUUGGGUUUUCCAGGUAUUUUUAGAAAAGAAGGCCCACAAGGUGUUCCAGGACCACCGGGACAAAAUGGUCAGCCUGGGGGUAAACCAGUCUUCCAGGACCAUCUGAAAGUGCACCAGGAACAGUUGGUAUUCCAGGCGAUUGUGGAUUUGAAGGCAUGCCGGGAGUGUCAGGACCACCAAUGGGACCUCAAGGGCCACCAGAAAAGCACGGUGAAAAGGACACUGAGGGAAUGGGAAGGACCACAGGCGAAACAGCUAAACCAGAUCAACGUGGCAUUCGUAGUGAACCAGGGCCGGUUGACCCUGCGGGUAGGUGUGAGUUUUGCGAUAGUUACGCGCAAAGUUGGCAUACAAUAAAGGUCCGCUAGCUGUCAGAAAGUAACGACAAUCAUUUUUCAAAAAUAUCUAUUGAAAAAUUAGUCUAUUAGAGUAUCUCGAUAUUAAUAAUAAUAUGCCUAAUGACAAUAAUAAUGGUAGAAAAGGCGCUUAUACAUUUUUAAAAUAAAAAUACAAUAUACAAUA